UACGGGGGGGGCAAGCGUUGUUCGGAAUUACUGGGCGUAAAGGGCUCGUAGGCGGCCAACUAAGUCGGAUGUGAAAUCCCCAGGCUUAACCUGGGAACUGCAUCCGAUACUGGAUGGCUUGAAUCCGGGAGAGGGAUGUGGAAUUCCAGGUGUAGCGGUGAAAUGCGUAGAUAUCUGGAGGAACACCGGUGGCGAAGGCGGCAUCCUGGACCGACACUGACGCUGAGGCGCGAAAGCUAGGGUAGCAAACGGG
rnacentral:rRNA from 1 species